AGAGUUUGAUCCUGGCUCAGGAUGAACGCUAGCUACAGGCUUAACACAUGCAAGUCGAGGGGAAACGACAUCGAAAGCUUGCUUUUGAUGGGCGUCGACCGGCGCACGGGUGAGUAACGCGUAUCCAACCUGCCCACCACUUGGGGAUAACCUUGCGAAAGUAAGACUAAUACCCAAUGACGUCUCUAGAAGACAUCUGAAGGAGAUUAAAGAUUUAUCGGUGAUGGAUGGGGAUGCGUCUGAUUAGCUUGUUGGCGGGGUAACGGCCCACCAAGGCGACGAUCAGUAGGGGUUCUGAGAGGAAGGUCCCCCACAUUGGAACUGAGACACGGUCCAAACUCCUACGGGAGGCAGCAGUGAGGAAUAUUGGUCAAUGGGCGAGAGCCUGAACCAGCCAAGUAGCGUGCAGGAUGACGGCCCUAUGGGUUGUAAACUGCUUUUAUAAGGGAAUAAAGUGAGUCUCGUGAGACUUUUUGCAUGUACCUUAUGAAUAAGGACCGGCUAAUUCCGUGCCAGCAGCCGCGGUAAUACGGAAGGUCCGGGCGUUAUCCGGAUUUAUUGGGUUUAAAGGGAGCGUAGGCCGGAGAUUAAGCGUGUUGUGAAAUGUAGACGCUCAACGUCUGCACUGCAGCGCGAACUGGUUUCCUUGAGUACGCACAAAGUGGGCGGAAUUCGUGGUGUAGCGGUGAAAUGCUUAGAUAUCACGAAGAACUCCGAUUGCGAAGGCAGCUCACUGGAGCGCAACUGACGCUGAAGCUCGAAAGUGCGGGUAUCGAACAGGAUUAGAUACCCUGGUAGUCCGCACGGUAAACGAUGGAUGCCCGCUGUUGGUCUGAAUAGGUCAGCGGCCAAGCGAAAGCAUUAAGCAUCCCACCUGGGGAGUACGCCGGCAACGGUGAAACUCAA
rnacentral:rRNA from 1 species